GUGCAGAGAUGUGUGCGUUUCUUCACCUGAAGUCACUGUAGAGUGAAACCGAGCUUUUUGACCCUAAGUCACA
ensembl:snoRNA LOC120101211 small nucleolar RNA SNORD36